CCCCGAGAUGAGUUCUCCCUGACCCUUUAAGGGUCCUGAAGGAACGUUGAAGACGACGACGUUGAUAGGCCGGGUGUGUAAGCGCAGCGAUGCGUUGAGCUAACCGGUACUAAUGAACCGUGAGGCUUAACCUU
rnacentral:rRNA from 1 species